AAUAGAUACCCUGGUAAUCCACGCCGUAAACGAUGAGUGCUAAGUGUUAGAGGGUUUCCGCCCUUUAGUGCUGCAGCAAACGCAUUAAGCACUCCGCCUGGGGAGUACGGUCGCAAGACUGAAACUCAAAGGAAUUGACGGGGGCCCGCACAAGCGGUGGAGCAUGUGGUUUAAUUCGAAGCAACGCGAAGAACCUUACCAGGUCUUGACAUCCUUAUGACAUCUCUAGAGAUAGAGCUUUCCCUUCGGGGACAUAAGUGACAGGUGGUGCAUGGUUGUCGUCAGCUCGUGUCGUGAGAUGUUGGGUUAAGUCCCGCAACGAGCGCAACCCUUGAUCUUAGUUGCCAGCAUUCAGUUGGGCACUCUAAGGUGACUGCCGGUGACAAACCGGAGGAAGGUGGGGAUGACGUCAAAUCAUCAUGCCCCUUAUGACCUGGGCUACACACGUGCUACAAUGGAUGGUACAAAGGGUAGCGAGACCGCGAGGUUUAGCCAAUCCCAUAAAACCAUUCUCAGUUCGGAUUGCA
rnacentral:rRNA from 1 species